GUGCUUUUAUGUACCUCAAGCACCAGUUUCUCGCCGGAUCUUUUCAGUGGGUCGCGUUCCCGAUCCGGUGGCAGAUUCCGCAAAGUGUUAGCGGGAGUGUUAGCAACACUGUCGGUUUGAGCCCCGUGAGCUCACCUACACGUCAAGGAGAAGCUGAAAUAGCCUCUCAAGGCUAUCAGGGAGGUAGGGAAAAAAGGCCUUUGGUUGAUCGACUUUCUCUAAAUACGAUCGACUUCAGAAAUUUAAAGAGUAAAGAUCGCGUCAUAAGUGCAGGUGUAGCGAAGCCGCACCGUUCUACGUCUCUUUGAGACUUGCCUCAUGCCUCAAGGUAGCGGCAACUUCAAGCUGACGCCCCUGGGUAACACUGACUACAUCAGCCACUACCCUAGUGCAAAACUAUUUCUAACAGGACAACAACCACUAAGGGUCGAUUCGACCAAACAAGAGUAAAUCUUAUUCUUAGAAUAACUCGUCAGUUAAUCGAGAGUAAAUCAAUUUUACGUUUUACCAUCUACAAUUCUAAGAAUAGUGGGCCUAUUCGGGAAUUGUUACUAUACCGCCGUUUCGCACGGAAUAACGGAGCUAUUCCUAGAAUAAAGUAAUGGCGUCUGUCAGUCCAACAUCUGAUUUCUGUCAUUUCAUAAAUAUUUAUUCUGUUUUAAUUUCAAGUCAACGCAAUGCACUAAAUUAUUAUUAAUAGUCUGGCAUUGUAUAAUGCAACGUUUAAACGAAAAAAGAUAAAACCACACGACAAAACUUGACAUUUCCCUCAAACAAACAACAAAUAAAAAUAAUACGUUUGACAGCUGGAUAUCUUUCACAACAGCUACUUUUUCACACUAAAAUACGGCAAAAUCGAGUUGACGAUAUGUAUGCUCUUACACUAUGCCGUUGAACAACAACAUUUAUUUGCCGGAUUUUAUUUUUGUUCACCAUUCACUCUGCUAUUCGCGUAUUGUUAUUCCUAGCGCAAGUAUACGUGGAAAAACGACUAUGGAUUUACUCGAGAUUAAAAUCAUGGAAUAGGUUAUUCCUCGUAUAGUUACUCGAGUAUAAAUUUAAGUUUGGUCGAAUCCACCCUAAAUCACAUUGAACUAUCGGCAGCGGCUUGGCUCUGGCAUUGCCGAAGUCCAUGGGCGACGGUGCCUACAAGGAGAAUGUGCGAGUACGUACAGAUGGCGCCGUGCACGGUGGCGAGCAGCACGGGGCGGUGCGUGGGCGCGGCGGAGUCGGCGUGGUGGUGCGGCGCCACGAGGGAGCCGGCGCGCAUGACGUUGACCAUGUCGCCGAGGUGGAACUGCCCCGCGUAGCCCAUCUGCUGCCGGUCCUCGUCCGUGGUGGCCGCGCUGUGGACCCACAAGCCGUUACCGACCUCGCCCCCCAACCCUCCCCCCACCGACACUUCCAUACUGUUCCUUUAUGAUGUGUAUGUAAGUAUGUAUAUUGGUAUAUAAAUCAGUUAGCUUAUAUAUUUCAUAUUAUAUGUAAAAGGUAUAUAUUUAUUGUAUGUAUAUAUUUCUAUAAUAAUAUAUUGUCUUUAGUAUACUGCAACGUACCUACAAUAUUUUUAUAUUUUCCAGAAUUUCUGUAAAUUAAACGGUUGUCUGGAAGAGAUCGCUUUUAGCGAUAACAACCGCCUAUUGUACAAAUGUAUCUGCUUUUUGACUGUUUUUUAUAUAAAUUGUUUUGGUGUGCAAUAAAGUGUAUUCUCUCUCUCUCUCUCUCUCUCUCACCUGUCCUUUUGACAAACGAAAAGGUUGAAGCUGUUCUCUGCGCCCAGGAACGUGUCGUCGUCCAGGAUCUCCACGGCCGUCAUCCAGUUGGGGCUGUAGUCGCGGGCUAUCUCCUCGAAGCUGCCCUCCAUCUGAUGCACAAAUAUCACGAUUUAAAAUUAGGACCAGUGGCCCCUCAGUAUGCUUAGUGCGAAUUUUUUAACGUUCUCGAUAGCGUAAAAGUUAGCUCAUAUUUAUAAUUAUAUGGAGUUGUAUCAUUUGCUUACGUUUGUCGCUAGGGGCGCUGUUCCAAUCGCAUACAAAAUUGGCUUAACUUUUACGCUAUCGACAACGUUAAGAAACUCGCACUAAGCACACAGUAGUCGAAAUUCGUCUAUAAUUAAUUGAAACUAUAAGUUUGUGCUCUAUUAUUAUUCUAUUAUCAAAGACUCUUAAACUUCUACAAUCACAGAUUCGCCAAGACUACACUUUAGACAAAUAUUAAUAAAGGCAAACAAUAAUUAAUCUACUCUCAAUUUGAUCACAGACUAUAAGGCAAUAAGAUUAGUUUGACAAUAAACAAAUAGUAUGCA